GCACUAAUGGUGUAAUGGUAACAUCUAAGCUUCCCAUGCGACUAGCACGCGAUGCCCUGCUUAGGCCCCUGGUUCGAUUCCUGGUUAGUGCA